UCCUCAGCUGUCAGCCUCCUUAGUAGCUAGGGUUACAGGCAUGAGCCACUGGCCCCAGCACUCUUAAAGGGCUUUCUCUGAUUUCACAGACAAAUUGAAGUUCCCCUGCCAAUGCUCUAGUGGGAUCUUGAAUAAUUUAUAAUAACAUGUUUGUGAUUAUAUUAUACCUGAAGCUCUUCCAAUAAUUUAUGAAUUGUAUGAAGACAGAAACAUGGUCUAUUUUUUUUCUUCAUUAUAGUAACAGCACCAGCCACAGGUACUAAUCAUUUGUUAAGUAUGAAUCCCUAGCCAUUCAUAGGCUGCUUGAAGCUGCUCAAAGUUGCAGAUAACCAAAGAAUUAAAUCUUAACUUUUUUUAAAAAGGAGAGAUAACUGAUUCAUGCAUUUGCAGGCACUCACCUUUUCCUGACUACAAGUGAUUAGAAGUACUGGAGAAGGUGGACAUAAAAUUAAAGAGGGUGGCCAAUUGUUGAGCAGGAACCAGGGCCCAUUGUCAUUCAACAUAAUUAACCAUAGCAUGAGUACAUCCACUGGCCAAAAGACCUGCCCAGACAGUAUAAUGUUGAGAACUAGACCUGAAAAAAUAUAAUCUCUUUUGCCAGUUUCAUUAAGCCAGACAAUACAGUAGACCAAUUGAUGGGGCAAAAAUAUAAUAAAAUGAAGAUUCUUCCUAUGCUGAUAGCCCUAAUAUAAUAGCAACUAGUUAACCCAAAUUGCAAUUUUGCUGGGUAACAAUUUGAGGCAUCUUGUCUGAGGUAUAACAAGUCUCCAAGUUAGCUGCCUUAUUUCAAAUUCAGAGGAAGGAAAGUUCACAUCAAGUAAACACAGGACACUAAACUUCCUGGCAAACAUUAUCCUCAGAAAGUCCUUCAAUACCACUGAAUAUAGUCUCUACUAUCCUACAUAGGCUGCCAAAGUGAUAAAGUAAACAUCAGGAAAGAAUCAUGCUACCAAUUCUUAGAGGAUAUUUAUGAGAGUGAAUAAGGUGUUCAAAUAAAAUCAUAGCAGAAAAACAAUACAAAACCCACUUCCUUGCAGUCCCAGGCAAAUCUGUUGCUUAAACAAUAACAACAGAAUCUAAUCAGUAAACUUCUCAGCUGCCAAAAUUAUACAAGCAACUUGCCUGUUUAAAAUGUCACAUUUCCCAUCUGAUAUAAAUGUUUGCCUUCUGCUCCCAUUCCUGAAGUGUAAUACAAAUUAAGCCCAAACUAGAAUUCACUUUGGCACAGACUAUUACAUUUCUUUUUUUUCCUUUCAAGUGACCCAGAUUGCGCACUUAUAAAAAUUGAAAGCUCUGGUGGUCUUUUUUAUAAUUAGAAUAGACGACUAGAACCUAGACCAAUGAUCAGCCGAGGGUCUGCAUAUUAUUUUCCAUGUGGAAAGAUCUUCACUAGCUCCUUCAAGUCCACUGAGAUUUGAUUUUGCCUCCAUAAUUGUUUAUACCCAAAUGCAAAACUGCCUGUUAUCUGAUUCCUGGGAAAAUAAUUAGUGAGAUUUUUUUUCAAAAUAAAGGAGUAAAUCUAGUAAACUAAAAAAGGUAACUUGAAAACUGUUUAUAGAAAAAAGCAUGUGAAAUUAAUAGCGAAGGUUAAAAAAGCCAAUUUAAAAGAAGGAUACAACAAAAACCAGACUUGUAGGCUGUAUUGAUUUAAAAUACACAGACCAGAAUUCUCAAGGGUGGCAGGAGUUGAGAAAUUUAAACCACCCCAGAAAUGCCCAACACUGAUUCUUUCUUGCCUUGGCAAAAAAUUGAUUUUAGAUUGUUAAUGUAUUACAUGCAAACCAGAACUGUCAGUCAACCUCAAACUGUAUCAGAACCAUUGAGGUACUGGCUAAAAUAGCAGGUGUCAUGAAAGACCUUCUGAAUUAGCUUGUUUUUAUGGUGAACACAGCUUCCUGAAAAUCCAUGCUCUCCCUCUAGUCCAAUCAGAGUCCCACAGCUACUCUGAUAAAAAAAAUCCAGUCAUUAGCAUAUAAAGCCAGUGAGCCCUUUCCAGACCAUGAGAUUCAUUUAGCUCUCUGAUCUCCCUUACAUCAAAUAAAAAACGCAAAAGUCUUUAAAGUCCAAUGGUUAAUAAAGUGCUUGAGAAACAACCUCUACAGUGGAGUAGGGUGAUGUUUGGAAGCAGAAUAAAAAUGUCUUUCCCUGACCAAAGCCUUGCCAAUAAGCAGUAAAAGAAGCUAGACCAAACAGGGGCUUAUACAAUCAAUUUACAGAGUCUCCAUCCCCAAACCAACUAUCCCCAGCCACUUUAACUCCUGCCUGAUUAUAAACAAACUGCCUGCUCCCAUAAACUAUUUAUGCUACCUAAAGACCAGAAACAAGAGGCCGAGAAGCAAACCCCCAUAGAAAUUGCCCUUUGUCUAAAAUUUAACGCAAACUUUGAAAUAUUUUUGCAUAUUAAGUGAAGAAUAGAUGUUACAGAAAUGCUAACAAGGAAAU